rnacentral:misc_RNA from 1 species
GAAAAUUAAGGUGUUCUUAAUUAAUCCAAGGAUAUCCCAAGUAUUACAUAUUUAUUAUUGAAGAUAUUCUUGAAGAAAUUCCAAAACAUAUUAAAAUGUGAUGAUUUCAUCAAUUCCUAAGGUUGGCCUACAUGUUAUCCUGCAAAAAAAUCUGUAGCUAGCAGAAUUAAGCUCCAGGCAUAUGGACUCUUGAUUAGAGACUAUAUAUAUAUAUGAAAGCUUCUGAACUUUUCUGUAUUACUGUAAU